rnacentral:rRNA from 1 species
UAGUAGCGGCGAGCGAAGCGGGAAGAGCUCAAAUUUAUAAUCUGGCACCUUCGGUGUCCGAGUUGUAAUCUCUAGAAGUGUUUUCCGCGUUGGACCGCACACAAGUCUGUUGGAAUACAGCGGCAUAGUGGUGAAACCCCCGUAUAUGGUGCGGACGCCCAGCGCUUUGUGAUACACUUUCAAUGAGUCGAGUUGUUUGGGAAUGCAGCUCAAAUUGGGUGGUAAAUUCCAUCUAAAGCUAAAUAUUGGCGAGAGACCGAUAGCGAACAAGUACCGUGAGGGAAAGAUGAAAAGCACUUUGGAAAGAGAGUUAACAGUACGUGAAAUUGUUGGAAGGGAAACGCUUGAAGUCAGACUUGCUUGCCGGAGCUUGCUUCGGUUUGCAGGCCAGCAUCAGUUUUUCGGGGUGGAUAAUGACGGUUUGAAGGUAGCAGUCUCGGCUGUGUUAUAGCUUUCCGUUGGAUACAUCCUGGGGGACUGAGGAACGCAGCGUGCUUUUUGCGAAAGACUCGUCUUUUUCACGCUUAGGAUGCUGGUGGAAUGGCUUUAAACGACCCGUCUUGAA